GAGUAGCCGAAGAUAAAAUUGUAAUCUUGUCUAGAUUUAGAGUUGGAUUACUUGAAGAUAUCCAGUGUAAGCUCUUUUUACGAGAGAUAACCACAUUAGAAUAAGCUUAUCAAUUUGCCUUAGAUUUUAAAAGAUUUUCUAGAUAUUUGACUCUCUGUCAUCCUAAACCCAGUCGAGUAACCCCUUCUAGAUUGAGACCUAAUAUUUACCAGGCUCCUAGUAACGAACCUCCACC
rnacentral:lncRNA from 1 species